GUGUCAGCAGCCGCGGUAAUACGGGGGGGGCAAGCGUUGUUCGGAAUUACUGGGCGUAAAGGGUUCGUAGGUGGCCUGCUAAGUCACACGUGAAAUCCCUCAGCUUAACUGGGGAACUGCGUGUGAGACUGGCGGGCUUGAGUGCAGGAGAGGAACGCGGAAUUCCAGGUGUAGCGGUGAAAUGCGUAGAUAUCUGGAGGAACACCGGUGGCGAAGGCGGCGUUCUGGACUGCUACUGACACUGAGGAACGAAAGCCAGGGGAGCAAACGGGAUUAGAAACCCGCGUAGUCC
rnacentral:rRNA from 1 species